GACGAACGCUGGCGGCGUGCUUAACACAUGCAAGUCGAACGGUGAAGUCAGUGCUUGCACUGGCGGAUCAGUGGCGAACGGGUGAGUAACACGUGAGUAACCUGCCCCUGACUCUGGGAUAACCCCGGGAAACGGAGCUAAUACCGGAUACGAACCACUCAGGCAUCUGAGAGGUUGGAAAGAUUUAUCGGUCAGGGAUGGACUCGCGGCCUAUCAGCUUGUUGGUGGGGAACGGCCCACCAAGGCGACGACGGGUAGCCGGCCUGAGAGGGCGACCGGCCACACUGGGACUGAGACACGGCCCAGACUCCUACGGGA
rnacentral:rRNA from 1 species